UACGGAGGUGGCAAGCGUUGCUCGGAAUCACUGGGCGUAAAGGGCGCGUAGGCGGGGAGGUAAGUCGGGUGUGAAAUCCCUCGGCCCAACCGAGGAACUGCGCCCGAGACUGCUUCUCUUGAGUCCCGGAGAGGAAGAUGGAAUUCCCGGUGUAGCGGUGAAAUGUGUAGAGAUCGGGAGGAACACCGGUGGCGAAGGCGGUCUUCUGGACGGUGACUGACGCUGAGACGCGAAAGCGUGGGGAGCAAACGGG
rnacentral:rRNA from 1 species